rnacentral:rRNA from 1 species
GUUUAUGGCCAUACUACCCUGAACGCGCCCGUUCUGAUCGCAUCUGGUCUCGGAAGCUAAGCAGGGUUGGCCUGGUUAGAACUUGGGUGGGAGAAUGGGUCCACGUAGCAUUGCCGACC